CUACUUCAUGACCCAACAAGUAGAUGUGAAAUUAUCUGGCCCUGGUUACCAGGGUUAAGGGCCUGCUCUCUGCAGUCAGACCUGGGUUCAAGUCGCAGCUCCUCCUCUUCCUCGCAAGUCUCUUAAUUUCUCUGCACCUCAGGAGUUUUCAGUCUGUAAGGGGGAUGACAGAUACACCUGCGUGUGGGGCUGUGUGAGGACUCUGUGACGGGUCGAAUUGAAGACCACUCAGCUCAGUGCCUGGAA